GCCUCCUUAGCUCAGUUGGUAGAGCAACAGUUUCGUAAAUUGUAGGUCGUAGGUUCAAGUCCUAUAGGGGGCU
rnacentral:tRNA from 1 species